ACACAGAAACAUACAUAUUUUUAUACUGAGAAACUGAAUGUCAUUUUGCAUUUCCUGACUGCGACCACUGGAGGGCAGUGAGUACUCAUAAUUCUAAAUACACUCACUCAGGUAAAGCGCAGAGGAGACGCUAUCACUCACACUUCCUGUAUAAACUUUCAAAAUAAAGCAAUCAAAAGACAAAAGGCAUUCCCCGAACGUGUUAGUAUACUAUCAUGUCUACCUUGAUGCAUGUAUGGACAUCAUUAGCAGGUAGACUGAUCUCCACACAAGAAAACUGUUAUUAAAACAGCUCUUUAUUGAUAGAUUCUUUACCAGUAGAUGUUACUGUUGCCAUUUGUAAUAUUCACACUUUCAUAAUGAAUCGAACAAAUGCAGUUUGGCAAUGUGUCGUUCAAAUAUUGAGCUAAGAGUUAGAUGACGAGACUGAUAUACAAAUAAUCCAUUCAGCUACAGAUCAAACACCAAACACAUAACCUGACACUAAUGGGAGUCAUUUCUACAUAUGCCUCUCUCUCACAGGUAUAGCUGGUGGGAUGAAGUAUGAGGUUAAUGAAGACUGAUAGUCCCAAGUGACAGAGAUGGACAUAUGGUGACGCAGUGAAGAUGAGGGUCUUUUCCUGACAAUCAAAGAGCAUGUUCACCCUCCUUUUCCACUCCAUCUUGAUUUCAAGUGGCCAAUUCUCCAUAGAGUUGUUACCUUGGAAACAGCACCUUAUGUAUUUAUAGAGAGCGACGGCGUAGACAUGGAGAAGGGAGAGCAGGAGACAAGACACGGACUGCGAUACAGUGAUUAAAGACGUCUGACAAUGCAGAAGUCACAGAAGGUGCUCAGCAGUGUGCCUGUGGCUGGGCUGGUAUUUUAAAUCCUGUCCAUCCACCCACACACGCCAAAGGAAACAGAGUUCACCAGUGACUGCACCUUUCUUUGAAGACGAGUCAUCUCUAGCCUUUCACAUUGCCAUGGAAACACAGGAUUUGUCCAAAUGAUUAGCAGUGGACUAACGCUGAGGCCAAGAACUCUUUGAUUUCAUAACACAGCUGAAUCUGUAGCCUCGUAGUUGAAGAAAAAUGUCUGCUGUGUGUGAAAAAGAACAAGCUAAUUACAUUUUAAACUCCUUUACAACAUUUUGGAGGCAAAUAUUGUACUUUUUACUCCAGUACAUUUAUCUGACAACUUUAGUCACUAAUUACAUUGCAGAUUCACAUUAAUAAUAAUAAUAAUAUUUAUAAUAAAGUAAUAAAUUCUGAUGCAAUAUUAUAGAUUAAGCUACCCAGCAGUAUGUAACGUAGUUACAA